GACGAACCGUGCGAACGUUGUUCGGAAUCACUGGGCUUAAAGGGCGCGUAGGCGGGUCAGCAAGUCCGGGGUGAAAUCUUUCGGCUCAACCGGAAAAGUGCCUUGGAUACUGCUGGUCUGGAGUGAGGUAGGGGCCGCGGGAACUUCCGGUGGAGCGGUGAAAUGCGUUGAUAUCGGAAGGAACGCCGGUGGCGAAAGCGCGCGGCUGGCCCUCAACUGACGCUGAGGCGCGAAAGCUAGGGGAG
rnacentral:rRNA from 1 species